rnacentral:rRNA from 1 species
UACGUAGGGUGCGAGCGUUGUCCGGAAUUAUUGGGCGUAAAGAGCUCGUAGGCGGUGUGUCGCGUCGGUCGUGAAAACUUGGGGCUUAACCCUGAGCUUGCGGUCGAUACGGGCAUCACUGGAGUUCGGCAGGGGAGACUGGAAUUCCUGGUGUAGCGGUGAAAUGCGCAGAUAUCAGGAGGAACACCGGUGGCGAAGGCGGGAUCCUGGGCCAGUACUGACGCUGAGGAGCGAAAGCGUGGGGAGCAAACAGG